UACGUAGGGUGCAAGCGUUAAUCGGAAUUACUGGGCGUAAAGCGUGCGCAGGCGGUUGUGCAAGACAGAUGUGAAAUCCCCGGGCUUAACCUGGGAAUUGCAUCUGUGACUGCAUAGCUAGAGUACGGUAGAGGGGGAUGGAAUUCCUGGUGUAGCGGUGGAAUGCGCAGAUAUCAGGAGGAACACCAACGGCGAAGGCAGCACUCUGGGCCGGUACUGACGCUGAGGAGCGAAAGCGUGGGGAGCAAACAGG
rnacentral:rRNA from 1 species